rnacentral:rRNA from 1 species
AGGGUUUGAUCCUGGCUCAGAAUGAACGUUGGCGGCGUGGAUUAGGCAUGCAAGUCGAACGGGCCGCAAGGCCAGUGGCGAAAGGGAGAGGAAUACGUAGAUACCCACCCUCAGGUCCAGGAUAGCCGCGGGAAACUGCGGGUAAUACUGGAUAAUAUCUCCGGAUCAAAGGUGUGAUUCCGCCGGAGGACGGGUCUGCGUCCUAUCAGCUAGUUGGUGAGGUAAUGGCUCACCAAGGCUAUAACGGGUACUGGGUGUGAGAGCACGACCCAGCUCACUGGGACUGAGAUACUGCCCAGACACCUACGGGUGGCUGCAGUCGAGAAUCUUCGGCAAUGGGCGCAAGCCUGACCGAGCGACGCCGCGUGUGGGAUGAAGGCCUUCGGGUUGUAAACCACUGUCGGGGGGGAUGAAAUACUUAGGAGUUAUCUCCUAGGCUUGACAUAUCCUCGGAGGAAGGACGGGCUAAGUUCGUGCCAGCAGCCGCGGUAAGACGAACCGUCCAAACGUUAUUCGGAAUUACUGGGCUUAAAGGGUGCGUAGGCGGCGCGGAAAGUAGGGUGUGAAAUCCCUCGGCUCAACCGAGGAAUGGCGCUCUAAACUACCGUGCUUGAGGAAGAUAGAGGAGAGCGGAACUUAGGGUGGAGCGGUGAAAUGCGUUGAUAUCCUAAGGAACACCGGUGGCGAAGGCGGCUCUCUGGAUCUUUUCUGACGCUGAGGCACGAAAGCUAGGGGAGCGAACGGGAUUAGAUACCCCGGUAGUCCUAGCUGUAAACGAUGAGCACUGGAUCGGAGGGACCCUCAUAUCCUUCUGGUCGAACCGAAAGAGUUAAGUGC